AAGACUAUACUUUCAGGGAUCAUUUCUAUAGUUCUUUACAAAAAUCAGUGGCAUUUCUUUAUGCAAACACUAAAUCUGAAAAAGAAGACAUCCAGA
rnacentral:snoRNA from 1 species